rnacentral:piRNA from 1 species
UGGCUGAAGGUCUUAACCAUGACAACA